UGUGUGUGUGUGUGUGUGUGUGUGUGUGUGUAAAUUAGAGUGAGGCAAACACCGCUGUAUGUGUGUGCAUGUAUACACACACACACACACACACACACACACU
rnacentral:miRNA from 1 species